UAUAGAUGGAUCCGCGCUGCAUUAGCUAGUUGGUAAGGUAACGGCUUACCAAGGCAACGAUGCAUAGCCGACCUGAGAGGGUGAUCGGCCACACUGGAACUGAGACACGGUCCAGACUCCUACGGGAGGCAGCAGUAGGGAAUCUUCCGCAAUGGGCGAAAGCCUGACGGAGCAACGCCGCGUGAGUGAUGAAGGUCUUCGGAUCGUAAAACUCUGUUAUUAGGGAAGAACAUAUGUGUAAGUAACUGUGCACAUCUUGACGGUACCUAAUCAGAAAGCCACGGCUAACUACGUGCCAGCAGCCGCGGUAAUACGUAGGUGGCAAGCGUUAUCCGGAAUUAUUGGGCGUAAAGCGCGCGUAGGCGGUUUUUUAAGUCUGAUGUGAA
rnacentral:rRNA from 1 species